GUGAAGAUGGUGUCAAAGUGUUUCAACUUAAAUACCAUAUGUUGGGUUCUAAGCCUUUGUUAACUGUCUUGGGAGACUACAUGGUUGAUUCUUUUCUGUGGUAAGAAUCAUGUGAAUUUGCAUAUUACACGAUGUGUAUCAUUUGUUUUAAUGGUAUACGAUAACUAUUCAUAGUGAUAGAAAGAAAUUAAGUAAGAAAUACUAGUUAUACAUGCAAGGUAUGUGAUUUGAUGGAUGAAUAUAAAACAUUGUGUUGUUAUGGAUAAGGGUGUCUCUGACCCUUAUAAUGCCUGGUUUGAUGUAUUUAUCAUUAUAUGUCAUCUCUUCAUAUGCAUUCUUUUGUUUUUGCACUAGUAUUUGCGAUUGCUGGAAAGGCCUCUUGAUCUAACUUACAAACUUGGUGUCAUCGACUAGGGGACUUCAACUGCAAGUAAAUGCACUCAUGGAAUUUUAUUUUAUUUUUCAUUUUUUUCAUUUUGAAUGAUUGGGUUUGAACUUCAAAGCCAAUGCUCUUUGCUAGAAGCCUCAUUAUGUCAAUUGUGUUUUAUAAUGUUUACUUUUGAGGUUUGUAGCAAUUUCUCACCAUCACUUAUGAAGACUUGUCAUUCAUAUCCUUAUGUUCGAUAGUUUCUAUUUAUUUGUUACUAUGAAUAAUUAGACUUCAUUAAAGAAGAGGAAUCCUUUAGAGAGUAUGAAGAAACCCGCAACCAAUAGAGGGAAAUAUGCCCCUUCUUGGCAAGCAAAAUGUCUAUGCCAUUUAGACGUUAUUUACCAAGCAUGUUGUCUCUAUAGUUCAUAAAGAUAACACCAAAUAAAAUGUUUAUAGUUCUCUCUACAAAAGCCAAAUGAAGUAUGUAAAAAAGUAGCAACAUAUUUUUCAAAACAUCCUUCGGGCAAGAUUUUUUUUUGGAAUAAGCAUAAGGUAAGAGCAAAGAGCGAUGGCUUCUGCUUAUGCAAAUGAAACACAUCAACUAAACUGGAGAAAGUGGUGAUUUAUGUCGGUUAUUUUGGCAUAGCCACUUACAGUACAAAGAUAAUGAGUAAUAUUGGGCUAGGUUAUUGAGAAAAUGGUUAAUCUCCCUCCAAUCUUCCAUAUUUGAAACUAAGAACAUUGAUCAUGAUGGAUUACAAUUCAAUCUUACAUUAUACUAUGAGAAGAUAUUAAUUGGUUCGAAUACUAAAACUUCUGACUCUUUUUGCGGGAUAAAAAUUGUGUCAAGUUAUCUUUCAAAAAAAAAGAAAGAAAAAAGAAUCGUGUCAAGCUGCAUGUUGCAAGGCAUGCGUAACUAGCUAAGACUACAGAAGUUUUGGAUCAAGCUGACAUUUGUGUUUUCCCUUCAUACAUGUCUAUGUGACCUUAUAAACAGGUUGGAUAGAAAAUAAACAUCAUGGUGGGCCCUAAGAAGGUUUCAAUGGCGGGCUCAUUAUCACCACGACUUUUUGUGGUGUAGUCCUGGAUCUGCCUCAUUUUUGGGCUCAUGUCCUAAAAUAAUCUUUAAAAAUGGAUGAAAAGUAUGGAUAAAACCCAUAAAUCACAGAGGCCCCAGCGAGCCCCUGCCUAAAUUGAAUCUUGUAUUUGAGAUCUUGGGUGUCAUCAUCACAACCAUCACCAUGUUUAUGCAUGAAUCGCCCUGGCCAUUGGCUUUUUCUUGAUACUUAUUUACUUCUGCUGUUAGUUAUUUCUCUCCUGAAAUAUUGGGCUUUUGAUGAAAUGUGGUUAAAAUGUAGGUUUUGUUCACGUUAUCUAGAACUUUAGUAUUAUCUAAGACCAGGAUCUCGACCGGGUCCUUUUUCUCUAUUUUCCCUUUCUAUUCAUCAUCUGAAUUACUUUCCAUCCCAUAACCACUUUUCUCCCUUUUCUUCCUUGAAAGAAGAAUAUCAUGUGGGUUGAUUGCAUCGUGGAGCUAUUAAAUCUACUAGUUUCAAAUCUAAAAUUAAUAUAACUUGCUUUCUUAAGGUUUGUUAUCGUUUUAUUGUAAAAUAAUCAUAAGAAAUUGUCAUCCAUUACAAAUGAUGACUUCUGUUUGUGCUUUGACUUGGACCUUGGAAACUAUGAAAGGUUCCUAUAUAUUAAGUUGACUCAUGACAACAAUAUCACCACUAGGAAGAUUUACCAGUCUGUUAUUAACAAGGAGUGAAGGGGAGAUUACUUGGGGAGAACUAUCUAGGUUGUCCCCCACAUUACAGAUGUUAUUCAAGAGUAGAUUGAGCAUGUAGCAGUUAUUCUUGUGAUGGUAAAGAAGGCCCAGCCGCCCAGCUGACAUAUGUGUCAUAGAAUUGGACGGAACGAUAGGUAAAACUGACUUUGAAGUGCUAAUUUUAUGUUUGUCCUUGCAUGGGAUAAACAGCUCAGCAUGUGGACUAUCAUCUUUGGUGGUAUUACAAUGUUGGCAAUUUUUUGU